rnacentral:rRNA from 1 species
CCACCGGGAUGUUCAUAACCCUUUGUUGUCCGACUCUGUUGCCUCCGGGGCGACCCUGCCUUCGGGCGGGGGCUCCGGGUGGACACUUCAAACUCUUGCGUAACUUUGCAGUCUGAGUAAACUUAAUUAAUAAAUUAAAACUUUUAACAACGGAUCUCUUGGUUCUGGCAUCGAUGAAGAACGCAGCGAAAUGCGAUAAGUAAUGUGAAUUGCAGAAUUCAGUGAAUCAUCGAAUCUUUGAACGCACAUUGCGCCCCCUGGUAUUCCGGGGGGCAUGCCUGUUCGAGCGUCAUUUCACCACUCAAGCCUCGCUUGGUAUUGGGCAACGCGGUCCGCCGCGUGCCUCAAAUCGACCGGCUGGGUCUUCUGUCCCCUAAGCGUUGUGGAAACUAUUCGCUAAAGGGUGUUCGGGAGGCUACGCCGUAAAACAACCCCAUUUCUAAGGUUGACCUCGGAUCAGGUAGGGAUACCCGCUGAACUUAAGCAUAUCAAUAAGCGGAGGAAA